GACGAACGCUGGCGGCGUGCCUAAUACAUGCAAGUCGAACGAGAGCGACCGGUGCUUGCACUGGUCAAUCUAGUGGCGAACGGGUGAGUAACACGUGGGUAACCUGCCCAUCAGAGGGGGAUAACAUCCGGAAACGGGUGCUAAAACCGCAUAGGUCUUCGAGCCGCAUGGCUUGAAGAGGAAAAGAGGCGCAAGCUUCUGCUGAUGGAUGGACCCGCGGUGCAUUAGCUAGUUGGUGAGGUAACGGCUCACCAAGGCCGUGAUGCAUAGCCGACCUGAGAGGGUGAUCGGCCACAUUGGGACUGAGACACGGCCCAAACUCCUACGGGAGGCAGCAGUAGGGAAUCUUCCGCAAUGGACGCAAGUCUGACGGAGCAACGCCGCGUGAGUGAAGAAGGUUUUCGGAUCGUAAAACUCUGUUGUUAGAGAAGAACAAGUGCUAGAGUAACUGUUAGCGCCUUGACGGUAUCUAACCAGAAAGCCACGGCUAACUACGUGCCAGCAGCCGCGGUAA
rnacentral:rRNA from 1 species